rnacentral:rRNA from 1 species
UAGGGAAUCUUCCGCAAUGGGCGAAAGCCUGACGGAGCAACGCCGCGUGAGUGAUGAAGGUCUUCGGAUCGUAAAACUCUGUUAUUAGGGAAGAACAAAUGUGUAAGUAACUAUGCACGUCUUGACGGUACCUAAUCAGAAAGCCACGGCUAACUACGUGCCAGCAGCCGCGGUAAUAUGUAGGUGGCAAGCGUUAUCCGGAAUUAUUGGGCGUAAAGCGCGCGUAGGCGGUUUUUUAAGUCUGAUGUGAAAGCCCACGGCUCAAACGUGGAGGGUCAUUGGAAAAUGGAAAAAUUGAGUGAAGAAGAGGAAAGUGGAAUUCCAUGUGUAGCGGUGAAAUGCGCAGAGAUAUGGAGGAAAACCAGUGGCGAAGGCGACUUUCUGGUCUGUAACUGACGCUGAUGUGCGAAAGCGUGGGGAUCAAACAGG